UACGGAGGAUGCAAGCGUUAUCCGGAAUUAUUGGGCGUAAAGCGUCCGUAGGUGGCAAUGUAAGUCUGCUGUCAAAGCGUCCGGCUCAACCAGAUAAAGGCAGUGGAAACUACAUAGCUAGAGUAAGGUAGGGGUAGAGGGAAUUCCUGGUGUAGCGGUGAAAUGCGUAGAGAUCAGGAAGAACACCGGUGGCGAAAGCGCUCUGCUGGACCUUAACUGACACUGAGGGACGAAAGCUAGGGGAGCGAAUGGG
rnacentral:rRNA from 1 species